AUUGAACGCUGGCGGCAGGCCUAACACAUGCAAGUCGAACGGUAACAGGAAGCAGCUUGCUGCUUCGCUGACGAGUGGCGGACGGGUGAGUCAUGUCUGGGAAGCUGCCUGAUGGAGGGGGAUAACUACUGGAAACGGUAGCUAAUACCGCAUAAUGUCUCAAGACCAAAGAGGGGGACCUUCGGGCCUCUUGCCAUCGGGUGUGCCCAGAUGGGAUUAGCUUGUGGGUGGGGUAACGUCUCACCAAGGCGACGAUCCCUACCUGGUCUGAGAGGAGGACAAGCCACAUGGGAGCUGGGACACGGUCAAGAGUCCUAGGAGAGGCAGCAGUGGGGAAUAUUGCACAAUGGGCGCAAGCCUGAUGCAGCCAUGCCGCGUGUAUGAAGAAGGCCUUGGGGUUGUAAAGUACUUUCAGCGGGGAGGAAGGGAGUAAAGUUAAUACCUUUGCUCACUGACGGUACCCGCAGAAGAAGCACCGGCUAACUACGUG
rnacentral:rRNA from 1 species